AGUGAACGCUGGCGGUAGGCCUAACACAUGCAAGUCGAACGGCAGCACAGUAAGAGCUUGCUCUUACGGGUGGCGAGUGGCGGACGGGUGAGGAAUACAUCGGAAUCUACUUUUUAGUGGGGGAUAACGUAGGGAAACUUACGCUAAUACCGCAUACGACCUACGGGUGAAAGCAGGGGAUCUUCGGCCCUUGCGUGAUUGUAUGAGCCGAUGUCGGAUUAGCUAGUUGGCGGGGUAAAGGCCCACCAAGGCGACGAUCCGUAGCUGGUCUGAGAGGAUGAUCAGCCACACUGGAACUGAGACACGGUCCAGACUCCUACGGGAGGCAGCAGUGGGGAAUAUUGGACAAUGGGCGCAAGCCUGAUCCAGCCAUACCGCGUGGGUGAAGAAGGCCUUCGGAUUGUAAAGCCCUUUUGUUGGGAAAGAAGAGCAGCAGGUUAAUACCCCGCUGUUCUGACGGUACCCAAAGAAUAAGCACCGGCUAACUUCGUG
rnacentral:rRNA from 1 species